GAUGAACGCUGGCGGCGUGCCUAAUACAUGCAAGUAGAACGCUGAAGCUUGGUGCUUGCACCGAGCGGAUGAGUUGCGAACGGGUGAGUAACGCGUAGGUAACCUGCCUCUUAGCGGGGGAUAACUAUUGGAAACGAUAGCUAAUACCGCAUAAAAGUCGAUAUCGCAAGAUAUUGAUUUGAAAGGUGCAAAUGCAUCACUAAGAGAUGGACCUGCGUUGUAUUAGCUAGUUGGUGAGGUAACGGCUCACCAAGGCGACGAUACAUAGCCGACCUGAGAGGGUGAUCGGCCACACUGGGACUGAGACACGGCCCAGACUCCUACGGGAGGCAGCAGUAGGGAAUCUUCGGCAAUGGGGGCAACCCUGACCGAGCAACGCCGCGUGAGUGAAGAAGGUUUUCGGAUCGUAAAGCUCUGUUGUAAGAGAAGAACGAGUGUGAGAGUGGAAAGUUCACACUGUGACGGUAACUUACCAGAAAGGGACGGCUAACUACGUG
rnacentral:rRNA from 1 species